rnacentral:lncRNA from 1 species
AGCAUACAGACAAUAUUAUUAUAAACAAUAACAUAUGAAAUACACAGACAAUACAAUAUAUAUAACAAGUGUUAACAAAAUAAUAAAGUAAAAGUAGCAAUGUAUUAUUAUUCAAUGAAUACUAUGUUGAAUUCAGUGACUCAAGUGCACCCGGUAAGUGUAUUUUCACUUUGAAAAGACCAACAAGAGGCAUUAGUAGUUUGUGGGGAGAAAAUAAAAAAAAUUAAAAAAAAACAAUUUAAGCACUCGCACAUUUGACCAUGAGGUAUACUGCAAAUAACAAGUAUUAUUUAAUAAAGGAUAUUUAGUAUGACUUAUCUGCAGAAAGCACCAAGAGUCGGUGCUUAAAGGGAAGUCCCUACUUGUACGUAAUGCAGAUGAGUCAAACUCCUAAAUUAUUUUAAAAAUAUUUUAAAAACAUAUAUUUAGGAUUAUAGAUUCUGGGUCCACCCAGCAAGGAUCAUCAAGGAACGGUGCCAGAGAAUUUGAAAUUCUUCUUAUGAUCUGUGCAGGCUUAACA